AGAGUUUGAUCCUGGCUCAGAACGAACGCUGGCGGCAGGCUUAACACAUGCAAGUCGAACGCUCGUAGCAAUACGGGAGUGGCAGACGGGUGAGUAACGCGUGGGAACAUACCCUCCGGUUCGGAAUAACUCAGGGAAACUUGAGCUAAUACCGGAUACGGCUUAGCGGCGAAAGAUUUAUCGCCGGAGGAUUGGCCCGCGUCCGAUUAGCUAGUUGGUGUGGUAACGGCGCACCAAGGCGACGAUCGGUAGCUGGUCUGAGAGGAUGAUCAGCCACAUUGGGACUGAGACACGGCCCAAACUCCUACGGGAGGCAGCAGUGGGGAAUAUUGGACAAUGGGCGCAAGCCUGAUCCAGCCAUGCCGCGUGAGUGAUGACGGCCUUAGGGUUGUAAAGCUCUUUCGCUCGGGACGAUAAUGACGGUACCGAGAUAAGAAGCCCCGGCUAACUUCGUGCCAGCAGCCGCGGUAAU
rnacentral:rRNA from 1 species